rnacentral:tRNA from 1 species
GCAUUACUGCAUUCAGAGAUUCAUACCGGCACAGGUCGGUAUGCGAAGUCCCUUUUGGGGCCUUAGCUCAGCUGGGAGAGCACCUGCUUUGCAAGCAGGGGGUCGUCGGUUCGAUCCCGACAGGCUCCACCAUAUUGAGUGAAAAGACUUCGGGUCUGUAGCUCAGGUGGUUAGAGCGCACCCCUGAUAAGGGUGAGGUCGGUAGUUCGAGUCUACCCAGACCCACCACUCUGAAUGUAGUGCACACUUAAGAAUUUAUAUGGAUCAGCGUUGAGGCUGAGACAUGUUCUUUUAUAACUUGUGACGUAGCGAGCGUUUGAGAUAUCUAUCUAAACGUGUCGUUGAGGCUAAGGCGGGGACUUCGAGUCCCUAAAUAAUUGAGUCGUAUGUUCGCGUUGGUGGCUUUGUACUCCACACAGCACGGCAUAAGCCUCCGAGAA